AGCAGCCCCGCGGUAAUACAGAGGGUGCGAGCGUUAAUCGGAUUUACUGGGCGUAAAGCGUGCGUAGGCGGCUUUUUAAGUCGGAUGUGAAAUCCCUGAGCUUAACUUAGGAAUUGCAUUCGAUACUGGGAAGCUAGAGUAUGGGAGAGGAUGGUAGAAUUCCAGGUGUAGCGGUGAAAUGCGUAGAGAUCUGGAGGAAUACCGAUGGCGAAGGCAGCCAUCUGGCCUAAUACUGACGCUGAGGUACGAAAGCAUGGGGAGCAAACAGGAUUAGAUACCCGUGUAGUCCCUGUCUCUUAUACA
rnacentral:rRNA from 1 species